AGCGAACGCUGGCGGCAGGCUUAACACAUGCAAGUCGAGCGGACCUUUCGGGGUCAUCGGCGUACGGGUGAGUAACGCGUGGGAACGUGCCUUCCGGUUCGGAAUAACCCUGGGAAACUAGGGCUAAUACCGGAUACGCCCUUAUGGGGGAAGGUUUACUGCCGGAAGAUCGGCCCGCGUCUGAUUAGCUAGUUGGUGGGGUAACGGCCUACCAAGGCGACGAUCAGUAGCUGGUCUGAGAGGAUGAUCAGAGACACUGGGACUGAGAAACGGCCCAGACUCCUACGGGAGGCAGCAGUGGGGAAUAGUGGACAAUGGGCGGAAGCAUGAUCCAGCCAUGCCGGGUGAGUGCUGAAGGCAUUAGGGUUGUAAAGCUCUUUUAUCCGGGACGAUAAUGACGGUACCGGAGGAAUAAGCCACGGCUAACUUCGUG
rnacentral:rRNA from 1 species